GACAUAUUGGUGUAGUGGUCAAUCUUCAAUCCUGGAAAAUAAGUUAAUAAGUCACAUGAUGUGGUCAUGGGUUCAAAUCCCAUGCAAGGCA